CAAAGGAACGGGUCGCACUCGCUCUCAGGAAGGCCAUUCAGACUCCAUUCUCAUCUGAAGACAAGGGUGGCCACACCAGUCUGGAGUGAAAUCAGUUUCUAGGAGGCAGGGAAAGGAGGAGCUGAUCAGUACACAGGAAGAAGGCAAAGGGCAACAGAAGGAGUCAGCCACAAACCUGGAAGGUGGGGAGGAAAGACCAGAAAUCACUAUGAAAUAGACAAACCCAGGACAGAACUUGGAGUUAAAUAUCCCACUGUACAAAGAACAAAAAGCCCUACUGUGAGAGGGGAAAAAAAUAGAAAAGCCUCUAGGCCUUUUAUAAGCCUUCUCACAGGCUGUCCACACCCAUGGAAGGACGUGGUGGGAAGGGACAAUCCCUAGUGAAAACACCUGCUCUGCAGGUCCCACAGCAACACCGCUCCUGAAGACAGGCUGCAGGAGCUGCUUUCUGGUUCUCGAUCUUCAUGAACUCCCUGCUGCCUUUCUUUUAGAAAACAGAAGGACACAAUGAAAAGCCUAUGGAAAAAGUUCAGGGGUCAUAUUAUGGCUGCUCCACCUUAUGAGCUAUGUAGUCUUGGGCAAGUUCCUUAACUUCAUUGCUCUUUCCCCGUCUGUAAAAUGAGGAUACUAUGAUCUUAGAGCAAGCAGCUGGCACAUUACUAGGAAAUAUAAACACACUGUCUACCCUCCUGUUCAGAGACCUCUCUCCCUUGGGUGACAUGGAGGAAGAGGAGAGUCCAGACCUAGGCAACAAUCAGUCUUGACUUUGUUAGGGAACAUGGAAUACACUACAAAAAAAGCAGCUUAACAACUGCUCAGCAAUUUAGCAGGUUAAAGAUAGGGUUAGUCAACCAAAAACAACAUAUUAAUUAGUCUGCUCCUCUUUGAGGAGUUACGUCCUGAAAAAUGAUUCAUAUACCUUCUGAAGUCCUGGAAUUAGGAAUAGAAAGGGGCACCACAAAUUUGCAUAUCAUCUUUCAUCCAAGGAUAUGGAAAAAUAACAACUCUUAUAUCUUUUUAAAAUUUCAACAUCUAUUUCAAUCAGAUUGUUCAGAGCCAAACCAAAAUUUAAAGUUCACAUACAAAAAAGUCAAGGGCUAGACUCCAAGUGCCAGAAAAAAGAGGGGAAAAAAAAAAUCAACCAACCACCUGUCUAUGAGAGGUUGUUCAUCUCACUGUUGCUUAUCUUUCAAGAUGAAGUUGAAUGCUCAAUGCUGUAAUAAGCUGACUUUUAGAUCCCCUGGUCACAUGGAAGGAGGAGGAAUAAGAAGAGACACACUGAAACAAAUAUAAAAGGAAGGCACAGCUCUGGGUACUGGCAUGGUAUUAUGUGCCAAGUCUUAAAAAUGUUUAUACCUGUUAUUUCAGUACUCCAACUUAUAUGAGUUGGUAAUAAAGAGAAAAUUUAAAUGAGAAAAAUAUUAAAUAAGGUUAGUCACACUGUUAGCUACAGCAAAAUAACAUAAACCUCCAACAUUGUGAAAAUGUUAAAUAUUUGAGAGUAUGGCCACAAUCUCAUAUUGAAAAUUAGAUUUACAAAGAGAUUUUAAUGCUGUGGAAUGAUGCUUAUAAUUUUCUAACUGGGUACAAAACUGGAUAAUAUAGUCUGAACUAUGUAAAACUAUGUCUGAGUAUGUGAACGUGCCACAAGGUUAUCAGCAAUAAUAUUAAAAGUUCAUUAGUUUUAUGUUUUCUGUAUUUUAUAGGUUUUUUUUUAACAAUGCAUGCUAUAUUUUAUUCAGAAAAAUAUUUUAAAAGUCACUGGCUGGGCGCAGUGGCUCAUGCCUGUAAUCCCAGCACUUUGGGAGGCCAAGGCAAGUGGAUCGCUUGAGUCCAGGAGUUCAAGACCAGCCUGGGUGACAUGGCAAAACUCCAUCUCUACAAAAAAUAUAAAAGUUAUCUUGGCGUGUUGGUGUACACCUAUAGUCCCAGCUACUCAGAAGGCUGAGGCGGAAGGAUCACUUGAGCCUGGGAGGCAGAGGUUGCAGUGAGCUAAGAUCGCACCACUGCGCUCCAGCCUGGGCGACAGAGCAACACACAAUCUCAACAACAAAAAAAAAUUGUUUGUUUUAAAGUCACAAAAGUCUUAAUAGUCCCAAUAACCAGAUUGAUAUGCUCACUACUAUUAAACGUGAUUCAGGCCGGGUGCAGUGGCUCACGCCUGUAAUCCUAGCACUUUGGGAGGCCGAGGCGGGUGGAUCACCUGAGGUCAGGAGACCAGCAUGGCCAACAUGGUGAAACCUCGUCUCUACUAAAAAUACAAAAAUUAGCCGGGCGUGGUGGCAGGCACCUAUAAUCCCAGCUACUCGGGAGGCUGAGGCAGGAGAAUCGCUUGAACCCAGGAGGCGGAGGCUGCAGUGAGCUGAGAUCGCGCCACUGCACUCCAGCCUGGGGGACAAGAAUGAGAAACAAACAAAAAACAACAACAACAAAAACGUUUUUUGUUUGUUUUGAUUCAGGCCGGGCGCAGUGGCUCACGCCUGUAAUCCCAGCUUAGGCGGGCAAAUCACCUGAGGUCAGGAGUUCAAGGCAUUCUGGCCAACAUGGCAAAACCCCAUCUCUACUAAUAAUACAAAAAUUAGCUAGGCGCUGUGGCAUGUGCCUGUAAUCCCAGCUACUCAGGAGGCUGAGGCAGGAGAAUUGCUUGAAUCCAGGAGGCGGAGGUUGCAGUGAGCCGAGAUCAUGCCACUGCACCCCAGGCUGGGAGAUAGAGCAAGACUCCGUCUCAAAAAAAAAAAAAAACCAGUGAUUCAGUGGUAAGUCUAUCACUUUUAACAAAUUUUCAAGAAAAUGAAUAGUCUAAAUUUUAGCAUCGCUAUCCUCUAAGGUUCUCCAGGCUUUAUAGUUAAUGAUAAGUGGCUACCUUCUUUUACAAAGAGAAGCUAGGUCCACUAUUAGCUGUGUGAACUUGGCCCUGUUAUUCAACAUUCUCUUUGACUGAGUUUCUUUGUCUGUAAAAUGUGCAUAACACUGUAUCUGUCUCAAAGGAUGUUGUAAGGAUUCAAUGAUAUGUGUAUAAGGUGUUUAGUACAUUGUCUGGUACAACACAACACUCAAAAGUGUGUUAACUAUCAUCAUUUAAGACCCAACCACUCAGCAACAGAGAAAACUCUGCAGAUCCAAAUCCCAAUUCAGAGUUUCAUUUACAUUGAAAAGGAUACAGAAAGUAAAGCCCAACAUCCAUGAAAAUCAGUAAGAAUUCAGAAGACAGACUCCAGAUCCAAGACAGAGAUGUACCCAACUUAGAAGCAUGCUUCCUGAGUAAGGGGAGUCACCUGGGGUGCUCAGGUAUGCUGGGAGAAGUGGUAAUACGACAAGACAGAGAUUGGGGACAGAAUCUACAGGAUAAGAACAAACGGAGAGCUCAUCCACGUACUGCAGCCAGAAACCAAUAGAACUAUAAGGAGAUAAAGAAUCCACAGGCUACUGAAAGUUUUAGAAAGCUCAGUGUGUCCAAGGACAAUCAUAGGGGGAAAGAAGAGGAAUUUGAAAUCCCAAGCUAAUUUCCUCUUGAGGAGCCAAAUCCAGAGUCCCCAAGAACCACUCGUUUACUUACAUUUCAGUGCAGCAGCCUCUUAGGCCACUCUUAAUUCAGCCCAACGGAAAGUCCAAUAAUCAAUGCUAAAAUGCCCAGCAACACAACUACUAGCACAAUGAUAAUUAUCAAUUUCUGGAGAGAGGAAUAAGACAAAAACAAAUCAUUAUUACAAACAACCAAAAAAAUAACAACUCAUCCAAAACCUAACCCCUGUCACCUCUACAUAGAAAAUAUCUUACCAGUCUGAGUAAGAGGCCUACAUCUCUACAUACAGACAUCCUUCUAGGAUACUUCAUUUAUUUUUAAGACAGGGUUUUUCUCUAUCACUCAGGCUAGAGUGCAGUGGCAUGAUCAUGGCUCACUGCAGCCUCGACCUCCUGGGCUCAAGUGAUCCUCCUGCCUCAGCCUCCUGAGUACAUAGGACUACAGGCAUGCACCACCAUGCUCAGCUCAUUUUCUUUAUUUUUGUAGAGACAGGAUCUUCCCAUGUUCCCCAGUCUGGUCUCAAAUUCCUGGGCUCAAGCAAUCCUCUCACCUCGGCCUCCCAAAGUUCUGGGAUUAUAGGUGUGAACCACCACACCCAGCCUAGGACAGUUUAAAUUUCUUAAAUUACUUCUAGGCUAGGAAUGCCAGCAGAGGGAAAUAUGGGGCCUCUCUCAGCUCUCAGCUCACACUGCAGUUCUGUAUAUGUGGACAGAUAGAAUCAGAGCCACUAUCGUGGGGUCUCUAAGGAGCAGUUGGCCAAGAUAAAAAGUCACUGACUGAUUUUUUCCAUUUUAAGAGGGAAUGUAAAGGCAUUUUUGAUAGAGUUCUAAUUUCCUACUUUUGCCCAUACUCCUACCUGUCAGACCCAGUACACUGCCUGGAUAUCAGAAAAUGCCACCCAGCCUGGAUUCACCAUGUAAAAUAACUUCCCAGUCCCCUAAAUCCCUGCAUAAGCAAUAGGUAAAGUUGGAUGAAAAACAAAGAACUAAACAACAACAAUAUCAGAGCCCAAGAGAACCAGUCAAAGGAGAGAAGUCUAAAAAGCAGACGCCACCAGAGCUGGAUAACCACAGUCGUGAGCACAGAAGCCUAGAAGUCCUUAAGCGGCAGGGGCACCAGAGGGUGGGCAAAUACAGUGGUGUGGUAGAAACAGAAUGAUUGGGAUCUGAACUUGAAUCCCAGUGCCUCUACUUACUAGGUGGCCUGAAGCCAGUUACUGAGCCCCUGACCCUCAACUGUCUCAUUUAUAAAGUAGAAAUAACAGGUGCUCCAUCAGAUAUGACAUAAUGUAUAGAUAGCAGUUAGCAUGAGCUAGGUACAAGGUAGAGAAAAAGAGAAGGGAGGCGGAGCUUGGGCGCCUGGAGUGGAAGACAAUGAAGAGAAGGUUUCUGAACAGAGGAGUCAAGUGUAACAUCUGAAAGCCUCAUGAGCUAAGUCCAGGAGAAGAUUAGCAGCACCACCUGGGCCAUGCAUCCAUCCUACAGAACUGCCUUUCAAGUGUGGGUUUUUGGGGAGAUAGCUUGUGAGCCAGAUCCAUGCAAGGCACACCUGGGAAGGAAGGGCAGGCAGCUUGUCUCUAGGAAAAGCUGAGGGAGGGGUUGAUGAGGCUACGACAGGGAGGGAGGCAUGGGCUCAAGAACACAGGUAGGGGUGGCCAGGGAGAAGAGAUACUAGUAAGACAGCUGAGACGAAGGACAGUUGAGAUGAAGGUGCUCACCCUCCGGGCUUCACUCUGAUACUUGACAGCCUUUUUGGUAUCUGCCACGGCCCGCUCCACAAAGCCCACUGACUGGUCCAUGUUGUUCUCAAUACGGUCAAUCAUGGAUCCCUUUCCCCAGAUGCAAGAGGUGGUGGCAGCAGAAACAGAGACAGGGAGAGGGAAGAGAAAGAGCGAGACACAGCAAACAAAAUGGACUCUCUUCUCUGAAGGCCACAGGAGAGUCUCACCUUCCGGGCCUGACUCUGGUAUUUCACAGCUUUUUUCGUUUCAUCUCGUGCCUUCUCCACGUGGUCCACUGUGUGCAUGACAUUCAACUCUAUGUUAUCUAACAUCUCACCCUGCAAAGAACAGACUCUGAUCACACCAAGUAAACGUCUCAGGUCAGUCCUAGCCAAUGCGGGGAAGGGAUUCUCUUUCUUACAAUCUUCAGUGGCAAGAAGAGCAUCCACAAACCUUGAUGCAUGGCCUUCCAUAGGACACCCAUUCACAGUCCUUGGUGGUGGGGUGGCAGUCACUUGUUCAAGAAACAUUCAGUGAAUUUUACUACUUCUCUGUGACCAGCACUCCACCAGGCAUCCAGAACAUACUAUCUAGAUACCUAGUAACUACCUAUAAAUAUACUCUGAGAUAUCCCCAGACAACCUUUGUUAUUUUUUUUACACUUAAGCACAUGGAGAGGAACCAAAAUAAGGAUAUCUCAUUGUUAUUAGGACAUCACUAGGAUGCUGGCCUCUUCCUGGUCAUUCAGACCUGAAUCAACAUCAUUCAGCCUGAAUUGAGUAUAUUCACUAACUGCAGAAGAGUGCCUGGCACACAGUAGGUGCUCAAUAACUAUCUGAGGUGGGGAACAUUUGCUUUCUCUAAGUUAUUUCCAGGCCCUUUAACUGACAGACAUUGGGUUUACCCAAGCUAUUUGGUUAUAUUUUCCCUUCCAGACAGUGGUCUCUUGAUAAGCUUCCCAACCAUUUCCUAGCAAUCACUUCCUGACAGGGAAGUUUGAUCAUUCCAAUUAAUCUUAGGCAUUUUAGGAAUUCUCCUCAACUACCCAACCCAACUCUAUCACUUUAUGGCAGUCUGUAAACAGAACAAGGCAGUGUGGGGGAAAAGAAGAGGUGGGAUGGAGGGACUUGAGAAAUGGUCUCAGAGGCCAGUAGGGAAUGGGGGGAAAGCAUCCAGGCCCUCGGCAGGGAACCAAUGUCAAAAACUAGUCAAGCUGUGCUCGAGCUUCAACUAGGUUGUGCAGUCUGCCUACUAUGGAAGCAAUUUUCUCUCCUAUCCCAAGUGUCAGAGCAGCUGGAAGUUCAUGGCAACAGUGCACAGCACCAUGACCCUGUGGCACACUUAACUGUCCCAUAAGAACUAGGAACCAUCUAACUAUGCGAAACUAGCGCCCUAUGCAGGCAAUCCAGAAUUCUAUCCCGAGCAAGCAUGCCUGGGACAAAGUAAGCUGUCAAACUAGCACCACGAGUGUUUCGAGUCUUUCUGUCAAUGCUAUUUUGCUACUCCUUCAUUCAUGUUGUUGUCUGCUCUGUGCCUUAGCAAAAGGUGCCAAAAUUAAAAAAAAAUACAAACAGAAAAAAAAUGGAAAAAAAUAAAAAUUUAUGUUAAACCUGAGUCUUCCCUGUGAACUAGAGAAAAGAUCACAUUUUCAAUGUCAUCAGUGAACUAGUCCAUAUCAGGAGGCUGUUUUAAAACGUCACCAUUAGGAGCCCGGAUCUCUGAUUUUUAAGAAAGAAAAAAAGACAAAUCCUGGGAGGAUUGCUUGAUCCUGGGAGGUCAAGCUGCAGUGAGCUGUGAUCACGCCACUGCACUCCAGCCUGUGCAACAGAGCAAUACUCCAUCUUAAAAAAAAAAAAAAAAUCAAAAAUCCAGGAAAACUGGGUACUUGACAGAACACAUCAAACCCUGUAUCAACUAGCAACGACUGCAAGGCCAAAGGGACAGGCAAGAAUGACAAGGUUAAGAUCACCCAAAGUGUCAACAUUCAAUUUGAAUGCACACUUUCCCAUGGGAUUCUGUUUCUCCUUUAUGCAAAUUCCCAAUGGUUCUCCCACCCUACCUCACUGGCUUCCAGUAUUCCCUUUCUCCCUGUUCUCAGUAGACCCUGAGCUUUCCUCUCCUCCCUCCCCACGCUGGGACUCACUGCCACUUACCUGAUUCUCCACCAGCAUGGCGAUGUCCAUAAACAUGUCGUGAAGCUCCUUGAUGCUGCUCUCCAGCCUCACAAUGUCCUUGUGUCGUCCCUCAAUCUCACUGAGGGCUUGCUUGGAAAUCUGUGAGUCAAUGAUCUACAACAGGCCACACACAGACUGUUAGCUACCCCUGCAAGAAAG
rnacentral:lncRNA from 1 species